AUUGUAUACAGAUUACAUGUAACGAAAGGUUACCUACGUCAUUAUUUCAAGCUAACAUAUUUGUGCCAAAACAUGCCACGUGCAGUAUUUGACGUAUAAUGCCGAAUUUUGAUGUAUUUAAACAUUCUUCAGCACUUGACUUGGUGAAGUCAACUGAAGAGUGCUUGCUGAGAUGGAGUUUUUGGAGGCUCUGCUGUUUUGAAGUUUUGCUGCUGUUUGUCUAGACAACUGCGACUGUUGCUUCUGUUGCUGCUGUUGAUGCUGCAGCUUGUUGCAUGCCACUUUGCACUGCUUUUUCUGUUCUGAAUCGACAGUUCCGUUUUCUGUUCUGGAUGCUGCAUUAAUGGUUUGCACUUUCUUGCUUAUUUCAAUUAACUAUUAUACGUCCAAUUUAAAACCAAUACUAAUAAUUAUUUAGUUAUUUAAUAA